UUCCUCACCCUCCCUUCCAUCUCUUUCUCAGUUACUCCGGUGAGUCUGCCACUUCAUGAGGUAAUUGCUUUCCCUCUGUCUUAAUUUGUUAAUUUCCCACGUAAAUUUAGUUCCAAAUUUACAUGAUGACUCUUCUUGUUGUUGGAAACAGUGUGAAGCAUAUCAAUGUUACAUUGUGGUCUCCAACAAAUGAAAGAUUAAUUACGUACCAUUUUAUCUGACUACCCUUUGAACAGUAAUUUCAUUUCAUCACUGAGAUAUCAUGCACCAUACUGAGAAAUACCAUGUGUAACUCUGGAUGUUUAAGUAAGAACUAUGAACACAUUUUUUUUUCCUGCUAUAGAUGGUGUUAUUUACUAAUAUCUGCUUUGAAAGUGAACACUAUUCUACGUAAGCAGUAGUAUAUAGUUUCUAAAGUUGAGGACAUUUCAAUUCAAUUUUUUGAGUCUCCGAAUGCAAUGUAACUCGAUCAGGCACCUGACACGUAAGAGCGGGGCCAUGGACGAUGAGUUUGCUUGCAGUGUGUAAUAGCGGAA
rnacentral:lncRNA from 1 species